ACCAUGACCGGUGUACAGGACAAUGACCUAUGAUUUGACAGACAGUGUGGCUGCGUGUGUCUGUCAUUCUGUAGGCCAAUAUUCUGUAUGUCUCUCCUCCUUA
rnacentral:pre_miRNA from 14 species